UGAAAAAAUAAAAAAAGCUCCGUGAGAACGGUGGAGGAAAAAAUGAGAAAAAUAUUGCUACAAAUCACACAUGGGGACACACUUUAGAUUUUACACCAACAAGAAAGGAAGUAAGGUGAACAAGGACUUUGCUGUAUGCAAGAAUUGUCUAAGAAAAAUAAGUUUCACUGGGAGCUGGUGACGUAGUGGACACUGGAGUUUGUGAACUUUGCUUUCAUCACUUCAGGUGAGGAAGACUGUGACUGAGCAAGUCUGGCAUCUUAAAUGCUGAAGCAGAUAGUGGAAGUGCUCAAACCAUGCAAAUAAGGUCAUAUAAGAAGAAAAGACCCACCAAUUUUAUCAUUGCCCCACUCCAAGCUCAACUGCUGACACCUAUGGCACUUUUUAUUUAUUAUUAUUAUUAUUUUUUAAAGAUUUAAAACUUUAAAGAAAUUAAGGGUGCCAUUCAUCAUGAUCUUUCCAAGCGAUAUCAGUGGUUGUGGUUUGUUUCCUCUAUAUGUGCAGGUGCACAAUUUGCAGUAGAUUUAUAUUUUACAGCAAUGUUGCACAGAAAAGGUGUCACUGUUUAAUAAAUGACUUAAACAGUA